AUAGAGUCUGCAUAUAGAACAUGUCAUAUGCACAUCCUACAUUCAUUUGACAGUGAUAACUUAAAAAGUCAAAGUGACAGUCACUUGUGUAAUGACCACCUUUAUAUAUGGAACCUACGGGUAAUUACGGAGCAGACUAUAUGUCAGCCAUAGACGGGGCCGACUUAUGUCGGACAUAGACGGAGCUGGCCAGACACACAUGGAUCCUUUGAGGACAUGUGGAAACACGGGCAUUAUACAGUGAACUGUUCACAAUAGCAAAAGAAAGAGAAACAGAGAUGCAUGCAUGCAUAGAUACAAGUUCAUACUUUCAUGGCAUAUAUGAUUAACAUAUGUCAGUGAUUUAUGAUUAAGUAAAACAUAUAUGUGAUGAUGUUAUAUCUUGGUGUAAUUUGGGAUGAUGAUAAUAUUAUGAAUGAAAGAUAUUAAUUGCUCUUAUAAAUACGAACAAGAAAUAUAUAUUAAAAUGAAUAUUUUCUUACAAUUGUUUCGAGAACCUUACUUUCUUUUAUUUUCUGGAAGAUUUUACAAAGACGCUAUAAGUUAUUUUUAGACAAUCUCAGUAUCUUUUAAAACUAAAGUUGAUGUAUAUUCAUUGAGUUGCGACUCAUGGAAAUCGCUCAAUUUUUCCAGGAUAUGAAUAGUUAGUAGUGUGUUUGUAUGAGUGCUCAGUGGAGAUUGUAGAUAGUGCCUAAGAGACGGUGGUCCAGCAGGAUGCUCCAGACUCCUCCAUCAGCCGAUGCACAUAUAUGUAGUUUGAGAGAUUGUGUUUAUGUACUCUAGACUUACUAAGUGUGCAAGAAAUCACGAAG
rnacentral:lncRNA from 1 species